rnacentral:lncRNA from 1 species
UUCGUUUAGGACUUCCUUUCUUACGUGAGCACUCCUAAAACACAAACAAACUUUAUCUUCCCUUAAGAACACGUUGACUCCUUCUACUACAGGUGAGUAAGUCUCCAAAGGUCGAGCAUCCGGUAGAUUGUGUAGUAACGUCGUUCACCUAAAAAACACAAAACAAACAGAAAUAGUUUAGUCGAACUACGAUAACUCUGAUUCUCAUGUUCAGAUGAGAUUCGUAGGCAC